rnacentral:misc_RNA from 1 species
CAACCCUCAAGCUUUUGCUUGGUAUUGGGCUUUCAUCCAUUCUUUCGGGGGAGGAUGUGCCUAAAACUCAUAGGCGGUUGUAAUCAACUCCUUUGCGUAGUUAUUUUUUCUUUCGCUCUGGAUUUUUUGGUUAUAACUCGCCUAAAAACCUCUUUUUACUUAGAA